rnacentral:lncRNA from 1 species
UGACACAGUCAGGUUGGAUCAGGGAUCACUUGAUCCCAGUCACUCUGUAAAGAUCCUGCCCCCAAAGACAGCUCCAUGCUGAGGACCAGAUCAGAUAACCUUGGACGCUCAUGUUACAGCCCACCUAACCACACAUUUGUGAAGGACAUAAGGCUUGGACAUCCAGGAACAGCUCAGCCUCCUGCCUGAAGCCGUACCACUCUAAGAAGACUAGAAUUCUCCAGACAAGUCCAUCACUACCACCACCACCACUACCACCACCACCUCCACCACCUCCAGGAUCUGAAUAGGCUACUGUAGACAUGUAGACAUGAACUUCAAUCAAGGGGCUCCAUUCUCAUGGAUGACCAGGGUCCUCAGGAGCAAUACUACAGAGUAGAGAAAGUCACAGGAAGAGGAUAUGAGAGAAGCUGGCUGUCGGAGCCCAGCACACGUGGCUGCAUACCUUCACGGUGAGGUCCUCAGGAGAGAAGUGCUUCACGUCCAAGAAGAUGACAAACUUGUCCCGGUCAGAUCGGACCUGAAACCCAAACCCACGUUUGGAGCUCCCCAAAGGACCACCAGCUCCAGAGACAAAGGAUGGGGGAACAGCUGUAUGGUCCCUGAUGGGCUGGAUCACAUAGGACAAGGAAGAGCUCAGCCAUCAGAACCAACCGUCACUCCUCUGCUUCCUCAAGCCAAGAAAGCUGGUGUGUCCUGGGGCUGGGACUGUCACCUGGCCCCACAGAACAAACAUUACACAGCUCACAGCGUUUCAAGGCAGACAGAAGACAAUGAAGAAACCGGCCAAAUCCUGCUCCAGUCCCUGCCGGUCGCAGGGGAUCUGUGUGCUGGAUGUGGUUCUGGUCUUUCCUCUGUGCGGGUCACCCUGCGCUCACCUCCCUCUGGCCACCAUCCUCAGCAAAGCCUCAGGUCUUCCCGACAUGACUUCACCACGGGUGUUAUUAAACCAGCUGCUUCUGCCCAGUCCUGUGAAUGGUUAUAGGCGAGUCUGGAGAGGACUCUGCUCCUCAGCCGGGACUCUCAUCCGGGUAUCACCAGGUAAAAGACAUCCCUGAACUCCAGCUGUGUGUGGCAUUGGCAGACGUGAUGAAAUUGUCUGAGGACCUCAAAGACCUUUGACUUGAAAACUUGUCAUCCCAGAGGAGAGGUUUCCUGGCGUUCCAGAAACUACCGCCAGCUAAGAUGCACAUGACAAACGCUUCAGGAAGCAAUGAGCACCCCACGGUGUGCCCCCGCCCUAGUACUUGUUAACUACAACUUAGCAGCUCUUCAGACCACACUAGGAGACAGGUCCCAACAUCACCCAGUGGGAGUCUCUUCAGCUACCACGGCUAGCAGAGUGAUGAUCUUUGAGGCAAAACAGCAGCUCAGUUCAACAUGACUAAGUAGCUGACGGCGGUUCAAACUUCA